rnacentral:rRNA from 1 species
GAUGAACGCUAGCGGCAGGCUUAACACAUGCAAGUCGAGGGGUAACAGGGAUUAGCUUGCUAAUUUGCUGACGACCGGCGCACGGGUGCGUAACGCGUAUAGAACCUACCUUUUACAGAGGGAUAGCCCAGAGAAAUUUGGAUUAAUACCUCAUAGUAUUAUAAAGUGGCAUCAUUUAAUAAUUAAAACUUCGGUGGUAAAAGAUGGCUAUGCGUUCUAUUAGCUAGAUGGUAAGGUAACGGCUUACCAUGGCAACGAUAGAUAGGGGUCCUGAGAGGGAGAUCCCCCACACUGGUACUGAGACACGGACCAGACUCCUACGGGAGGCAGCAGUGAGGAAUAUUGGACAAUGGAGGUAACUCUGAUCCAGCCAUGCCGCGUGCAGGAAGACGGCCCUAUGGGUUGUAAACUGCUUUUAUAUAGGAAGAAACCGUUCCACGUGUGGAACUCUGACGGUACUAUAUGAAUAAGCACCGGCUAACUCCGUGCCAGCAGCCGCGGUAAUACGGAGGGUGCAAGCGUUAUCCGGAAUCAUUGGGUUUAAAGGGUCCGUAGGCGGGCUAAUAAGUCAGGGGUGAAAUACCACAGCUCAACUGUGGAACUGCCUUUGAUACUGUUAGUCUUGAAUUAUAUGGAAGUAGAUAGAAUGUGUAGUGUAGCGGUGAAAUGCUUAGAGAUUACACAGAAUACCGAUUGCGAAGGCAGUCUACUAC